rnacentral:rRNA from 1 species
AGAGUUUGAUCCUGGCUCAGGACGAACGCUGGCGGCGUGCUUAACACAUGCAAGUCAAGGGGACCCGCAAGGGUAACCGGCGAACGGGUGCGUAACACGUGAGCAACCUGCCUUAGUGUGGGGGAUAGCCGGCCCAACGGCCGGGUAAUACCGCAUACGCUCACUGGGUGGCAUCACCUGGUGAAGAAACUUUCGAGGCACUAAGAGGGGCUCGCGGCCUAUCAGCUUGUUGGUGGGGUAAUGGCCUACCAAGGCAUCGACGGGUAGCUGGUCUGAGAGGAUGGCCAGCCACAUUGGGACUGAGAUACGGCCCAGACUCCUACGGGAGGCAGCAGUGGGGAAUAUUGCGCAAUGGGCGAAAGCCUGACGCAGCGACGCCGCGUGGGGGAUGAAGCAUUUCGGUGUGUAAACCCCUGUUGCUCGGGACGAACAACUGGUUUUGACCAGUCUGACGGUACCGGGUGAGGAAGCACCGGCUAACUCCGUGCCAGCAGCCGCGGUAAU